UGGAUACAGCAGUGUUACAGAACAGUUCUCCACAGUCGCUGUCCACAUGGGUCAGUGGGACCAAGCAGCACUCUGCUAAUGUGUGGACUCUGACCAGCAACAUCCAGCAAGACCCAGGCAGCGUUUUCUAUCUCCCAGCUGGAGUUUUUUGUUUGUCUGUGACUGGAGAGUCAGAUUUUUGUUGAGGCUGGAGGAACAGCCUCACACUUGCAGAGGUUAAUACACGCUACUGAUCCCUGAUGGGAGAAUCUUCACCUCUGCCAACAAAGAAGCCUGGUGGAUAUUUGUUUGCAGUCUGAUGAUGGGACACCAUGCUCUGCAUCUUCAAAGUUUGUCUCUUGAUUAUUAUUCAUACACAGUAAUGUGAAUUAUGCUCAUAUCUAGUAUAACUGGACCAACCUGGUGCUCUUCAUUUAUGGAGGCUGUUGAGUCUGAAUGUUGGAUGUUGUGUAUCUCGUGUUCUCUGGGCUUUGUUGUUCUCAGUCUUUUUGCAGGAUCAGAAAACAAAACCAGGAUGACCGUAAAUGUUUCUUCUCCAAUUGGAUGAUGAUAAGACUGUGACACGGGAUGCCACCUUUAGUCUUGUGAUGAAGCAAAGCUCAGGACGAAGUGUGAUUAAAUGGUACCCACACGUGUGCUGCUGAGAAGGAUGUACAGGGGCACCUGCAGCCAAAUCCAAGCCUCCUCAGCAACUUCAGGUCUGUGAGCAUGCUGAGGUCACAGAAACAAGAAAAGCAGCUUGACUUCAGAGUGUUGUUUACAGUUUUCUGUCAUCAUGAUCUCCCCUGAAGUUUAUCACUAUUAUACAAGCAAGCAGAGCGGCAGUUUGUGCUCACAGAUGGUGACGGUGUGGAGAGACGGUGGUGUUUCCUCAGAAGAACUAGCAGAGUCACAAAGGGCACGAGUCCUUCUCACCACCUUGACUUGUUGAUCAGUGGAUACACUUGUCUCCCCUUUAAAGGAGAUACUCUUAGAGAGAGACGAUCCGAGUCAUCCUUAAAUAUGGGCAGGAUAUCAGUCUUGGACGUCUAACCUGCAGGAGCAGCACUGAAUAACCACCACACAUGAGCAUGUUCUUGCAACAUUCAGCAGCUCUGCUUUUGUGUCAAAUGUCAAACAGCUGGAGAGGAAACUACACCAGUGUACUGGGAUGGUUCACCAACACGUGCCAGACGCUGUUCCUUCAUGGUGACAUCACCAGAGACGGCCCCGCCCACCUCAUGACCUCGCCAUUGAUCAUGAUGAUUAUAAUGAUGACAGCGAGCGGAACUAAGACUGUAAAAAUCAGAAUGUUUAGAUGCUUUCUAAUUAUUAAUGAAUACUGAGAGCCUCUUUCUGUGUUUUGUCUGUUUUUUUACUUCAUUUGUUACUAACAAAGUUCACCAAACUCACACAGUUUACAUUCUGUAUGUUUCCAUCUUUACCAGCCACACUCUACCCGCAAUUAAGAAAAUAAUCCUUAGAUUUCUCUUUUGUAAUUGAUGAUAAUUCAGUGAAUAUACUGCGCUGCUUCCUUUUAUUGCGUCUCACAUUGCUUU